UACAUAGCUAAGCUGGUAGAGCAUGACACUCUUAAUAUUGGGGUCAUGAGUUCAAACCCCACACUGGGCAAAA